AAAAGUAUAAAUCAUUUCAAAUCCCUUAUAUAAAGCAAACCAGAGCAUUAUUUUCUUGUUUUUUUUCUAAAUUUACAGAUAGCCAGGGGCACACUUGAACAAUCAGACAUAAUUUACAAAUUAAGCAUUUGUGUUUAGUGAGUCCGCCAGAUCAGAAGCAGUAGGGAUGACCAGGGAUGUUCUCUUGAUAAGUACGUGAAUUUGACUAUUUUCCUGUCAAAGUGUCACAAGUACUUUUGGGUGUCAGGGAAAAUGUACGGAGUAAAACGUAUAUUAUUUUCUUUAGGAAUGUAGUGAAGUAAAUGUUGGCAAAAAUAUAAAUAGUAAAGUACAUAUAUUCAGUAGUGCUUUUAUAAAAACAAAAACAACUUUAGAACAGACAGACUGCUCCAACUUAGAUUGCUGGGGAAAAUAUUUAUGAUAGCAUUUAUAAUUCAACAAUAUUUAAAUGAGCUCCCAAUACAUUUCAAUGGCAAUAACAGAGCCAUAGACUUAGAUGAGGGACAUUUGGCCAUGCUACUCCUCUUUCACCAUUUUAAAAUAUCAACUCCAAACCAACAUUGUCUGACCAUACUUAUAUUGCAUUUAUACAACUUUUUGAUACUAUUCAUACUUUUUGAACAAAAACCAUUUAAAAUGUGUAUAAAUUAACAUGGGUUAGAAUGAGAACCAUAGGAAUACAGAUGUUGCUAUUCAAAAUGGUCCUACUCCUUUGCCAAUUUAGCUAUAAGACCAACUUUAAAACACUAAGGCGAUCCUAACUUAAAACCUUUAUAAACUAGAAUUAAAUAAAUUUACGUGAAAUAACUCACCAACAGUAACUCUUGAACCGUUAAAGCUAGAGACCGACUUGCUCGUGGGGGAGUGCCAAUUGGCUGUCUCCGGCCAUCCCUCCAGAAAUAUACCUUCUGCUCCUUGUAGUCCGCAAUACCACGCUCAAACUUUUUCCGCUUGUUUGUCUUUGUCUCUUUCGCAAGUUUGUCAAUGCUCUACCCACCACGCAAUGUAUUGUCGACUUGGCUGAACUGGUACUAACCUCCAACUAUUUUCUCUUCAGAGAAGACUUUUUCCCUCCAGACCAAAGGGACAGCGAUGGGGAGCACUAUGGCUCCUAAUUAUGCUAACCUAUAUCUAGGAAUGUUUAAAAAACAGGUGGUGCUGAAUCCAGACCUUAACCCUUUUCUCUCAAAUAUUCUCAUACUUCUUGGAUGACAUUUUCAUGAUCUAUACUGUCACCCAGGAAGAACUUUUGGAAUUCCAUCCUUACCUAAACUCUAUGAAUGAACACCUUCACUUCACCAUUAACUAUGACCUAUCACAAAUCGGUUUUCUUGGUGUGAUGGUUAUUAAGGACAAACCCUCCCUCUCUACAGAUCUCUAUAGGAAACCUAUGGACUGGAAUACCCUCCUUAGAGGUGACAGCUUUCAUCCACGUCCACUUAUUAAAAAUCUCCCUAUAAGACAAUUCAGUGUUAUCAGAAGAAUAUGCAGCUCUGAUGCUUCUCAUCAGAAACAGACCACAGAAAAGGGGACACAAAAGACAAUUGGGUAAAACAUGCCAAUGAUCGUUUUGAAGGUCUAACACAGUUGGAAAGCCUUCAACCAAAAGUCAAAGAAAAAGCAUAACAUGUCCCAUCAUGCUUUACCCAAAAUUCAAUAUUGGGGAAGGCAUUUAAGGACAUUAUCAGGAAGUACUGGUACAUUAGAUACUGACCAUAAUUGAAACCCAUUUUUAAAUAUCCCCAACGUAUGGUUUUUAAAAGACCCCCAAUCGUGAGCGAUAUUGUGGUUAAAUCUUAUUACCCACCAGAGAAAAGGGAAAGGUUCCGGAGGGUAAUUACAAAUGUGGCCAAUGUGCUCAAUGCAAUGUACAAAUGCAACUAAUUUACCCUCCCCCACACAGGACAAAGAUUUAAGAUCAAGGGCCUGAUUACCUGCAUGUCCACCAAUGUUAUUUACAUGUUGAAAUGUCCUUGUGGUCUGUCUUACAUAGGGAAAACCCGCAGAAGCCUUAAGACACGAAUCAGUGAGCACCGCAGCAAUACAUGGACAGGAAGUGAUGUCACUGAGUACUGCCCGUAUAUCUAGGACCUUCCACCCCCACCAGGGAUAUGGAUGCCUGAUGAAGACCUAAGGCUCGAAACAUUGUUAAUAAAUAUCACCUGGGAGCAUGAGCAGCAGUGUGCAGCGUUUUCCGUGAAUGAGAAUAUGCACAUAUAAAUAGAGGGAUGAGCGAUGGCCAAGUGGCAUAGGCAAGGUGCAAAAGAUGUCAUAAAAUACAGUAUAUACAUAUGAUAUGAGUAAUGUAAGAUAUGUAAACAUUAUUAAAGUUGCAUUGUUUAAAGUGA